CAAGAGUUCAACAACCGUCAGCACUUCAAGGAGACUGUUUAGGUCACACAAAAAGAGAGAGAGAGAAGAAAUGCGUUGAAGGAUUUGGAAGUGACCGCUGGUUGGAGCCGUAAUAGGCCAUUUUCCCAUGGGUUCCCUCUCACUCGCUCGCUCACUCCAGUUCUCAUAAACAGUUCUCAUCCCAUCGUGGCCUGGGAGCUUGAGAACGGUGGGGGAGAGCGUGGCGUGCAGCGCCUUACCUCUGUGCUGUGGGGAUGUCGUCGGCUUUGAACAUG